CACGUAGGGAGCAAGCGUUGUCCGGAAUCAUUGGGCGUAAAGCGCGCGUAGGCGGCCUCAUAAGUCCGUUGUGAAAGUCAAAGGCUCAACCUUUGAAAGCCGAUGGAUACUGUGAGGCUAGAGUUCGGAAGAGGCGAGUGGAAUUCCUGGUGUAGCGGUGGAAUGCGCAGAUAUCAGGAGGAACACCAAUAGCGAAGGCAGCUCGCUGGGACGAUACUGACGCUAAGGCGCGAAAGCGUGGGAGCGAACGAGG
rnacentral:rRNA from 1 species